rnacentral:rRNA from 1 species
UACGUAGGUGGCAAGCGUUGUCCGGAUUUACUGGGCGUAAAGAGCGCGCAGGCGGUCGUUCAAGUCGCGUGUGAAAGCCCCCGGCUCAACUGGGGAGGGUCACGCGAUACUGAUCGACUCGAAGGCAGGAGAGGGUAGUGGAAUUCCCGGUGUAGUGGUGAAAUGCGUAGAGAUCGGGAGGAACACCAGUGGCGAAGGCGGCCUUCUGGACCAAUACUGACGCUCAUGCACGAAAGCGUGGGGAGCAAACAGG